CUUCGUUCUUCAUCUCUUCUUCUUCAAACUUUCAAGAUUCUGAGUUACUUCACGAAAUAUGCCAACAUAAAAUCCGUAACAAUCUCCCCCUUUGGCAAUUUCAUGACAAAACUCAAAAAUACAUCAAAAUACUCACAACGCUCAACUCUCCAACCAAUAAAAAAUGAAUUCAUUGUCAUCACCAAAACAAUGAACUUCUCGCGUGAAAAAUCCAAA
rnacentral:lncRNA from 1 species